rnacentral:rRNA from 1 species
GACGAACGCUGGCGGCGUGCCUAACACAUGCAAGUCUGGGAGAAUUGGGUAGCAAUAUCCAUAGUAAACCGGCGCACGGGUGAGUAAUAUAUAGGUAAUUUCCCUUUUGUUUUGGAAUAACCCCGCGAAAGCGGGCUAAUACCGAAUGAUGCAGCGGCUCCGCAUGGAGAUGUUGUUAAAGCUUCGGCGACAAAAGAUAAGCCUGUAUCCCAUUAGAUAGUUGGCGAGGUAACGGCUCACCAAGUCUGCGAUGGGUAGCUGAUCUGAGAGGAUGAUCAGCCACACUGGAACUGAGACACGGUCCAGACUCCUACGGGAGGCAGCAGUGAGGAAUAUUGCGCAAUGGAGGAAACUCUGACGCAGCGACGCCGCGUGAAGGAUGAAGGCCCUCUGGGUUGUAAACUUCUGUAGAGUGGGAAGAAUUUCCGCCUCUGGCGGAUUGACGGUACCACUAAAGUAAGGGUCGGCUAACUACGUGCCAGCAGCCGAC